GUGGUCUUCAAAACUCCCUUUUUACAUCUAUAUUAAAGCAAUGGCUUUUGAUUGUAUUCAAAAACAAAUAUUUCAAGAAUUAUAUAUAUAUACAUUUAUAACAAGUAAAUAUCAGGAGUGUUCACAUGCGAAGUGCACACAACUCUCCACUGAUACAAUGAGCAUUCAGGUAGUAGAAGUUCUAAAAUUUGAUGUCUCCAAUCAUUACUGAC
rnacentral:lncRNA from 1 species